rnacentral:rRNA from 1 species
AGAGUUUGAUCCUGGCUCAGGACGAACGCUGGCGGCGUGCUUAACACAUGCAAGUCGAACGGAAAGGCCCUUCGGGGUACUCGAGUGGCGAACGGGUGAGUAACACGUGGGUGAUCUGCCCUGCACUCUGGGAUAAGCCUGGGAAACUGGGUCUAAUACCGGAUAGGACCACACACUUCAUGGUGAGUGGUGCAAAGCUUUUGCGGUGUGGGAUGAGCCCGCGGCCUAUCAGCUUGUUGGUGGGGUAAUGGCCCACCAAGGCGACGACGGGUAGCCGGCCUGAGAGGGUGACCGGCCACACUGGGACUGAGAUACGGCCCAGACUCCUACGGGAGGCAGCAGUGGGGAAUAUUGCACAAUGGGCGCAAGCCUGAUGCAGCGACGCCGCGUGAGGGAUGACGGCCUUCGGGUUGUAAACCUCUUUCAGUAGGGACGAAGCGAAAGUGACGGUACCUACAGAAGAAGGACCGGCCAACUACGUGCCAGCAGCCGCGGUAAUACGUAGGGUCCGAGCGUUGUCCGGAAUUACUGGGCGUAAAGAGCUCGUAGGUGGUUUGUCGCGUUGUUCGUGAAAACUCACAGCUUAACUGUGGGCGUGCGGGCGAUACGGGCAGACUAGAGUACUGCAGGGGAGACUGGAAUUCCUGGUGUAGCGGUGGAAUGCGCAGAUAUCAGGAGGAACACCGGUGGCGAAGGCGGGUCUCUGGGCAGUAACUGACGCUGAGGAGCGAAAGCGUGGGUAGCGAACAGGAUUAGAUACCCUGGUAGUCCACGCCGUAAACGGUGGGUACUAGGUGUGGGUUUCCUUCCUUGGGAUCCGUGCCGUAGCUAACGCAUUAAGUACCCCGCCUGGGGAGUACGGUCGCAAGACUAAAACUCAAAGGAAUUGACGGGGGCCCGCACAAGCGGCGGAGCAUGUGGAUUAAUUCGAUGCAACGCGAAGAACCUUACCUGGGUUUGACAUGCACAGGACGUACCUAGAGAUAGGUAUUCCCUUGUGGCCUGUGUGCAGGUGGUGCAUGGCUGUCGUCAGCUCGUGUCGUGAGAUGUUGGGUUAAGUCCCGCAACGAGCGCAACCCUUGUCCUAUGUUGCCAGCGGGUAAUGCCGGGGACUCGUAGGAGACUGCCGGGGUCAACUCGGAGGAAGGUGGGGAUGACGUCAAGUCAUCAUGCCCCUUAUGUCCAGGGCUUCACACAUGCUACAAUGGCCAGUACAGAGGGCUGCGAAGCCGUAAGGUGGAGCGAAUCCCUUAAAGCUGGUCUCAGUUCGGAUUGGGGUCUGCAACUCGACCCCAUGAAGUCGGAGUCGCUAGUAAUCGCAGAUCAGCAACGCUGCGGUGAAUACGUUCCCGGGCCUUGUACACACCGCCCGUCACGUCAUGAAAGUCGGUAACACCCGAAGCCAGUGGCCUAACCUUUUGGAGGGAGCUGUCGAAGGUGGGAUCGGCGAUUGGGACGAAGUCGUAACAAGGUAGCCGCACCGGAAGGUGCGGCUG